rnacentral:rRNA from 1 species
GCGUAAGCGCGCGCAGGUGGUUUCUUAAGUCUGAUGUGAAAGCCCACGGCUCAACCGUGGAGGGUCAUUGGAAACUGGGAGACUUGAGUGCAGAAGAGGAAAGUGGAAUUCCAUGUGUAGCGGUGAAAUGCGUAGAGAUAUGGAGGAACACCAGUGGCGAAGGCGACUUUCUGGUCUGUAACUGACACUGAGGCGCGAAAGCGUGGGGAGCAAACAGGAUUAGAUACCCCGGUAGUCCACGCCGUAAACGAUGAGUGCUAAGUGUUAGAGGGAUUCCGCCCUUUAUUGCUGAAGUUAACGCAUUAAGCACUCC